AAAUUGAAGAGUUUGAUCAUGGCUCAGAUUGAACGCUGGCGGCAGGCCUAACACAUGCAAGUCGAACGGUAACAGGAAGCAGCUUGCUGCUUCGCUGACGAGUGGCGGACGGGUGAGUAAUGUCUGGGAAACUGCCUGAUGGAGGGGGAUAACUACUGGAAACGGUAGCUAAUACCGCAUAAUGUCGCAAGACCAAAGAGGGGGACCUUCGGGCCUCUUGCCAUCAGAUGUGCCCAGAUGGGAUUAGCUUGUUGGUGGGGUAACGGCUCACCAAGGCGACGAUCCCUAGCUGGUCUGAGAGGAUGACCAGCCACACUGGAACUGAGACACGGUCCAGACUCCUACGGGAGGCAGCAGUGGGGAAUAUUGCACAAUGGGCGCAAGCCUGAUGCAGCCAUGCCGCGUGUAUGAAGAAGGCCUUCGGGUUGUAAAGUACUUUCAGCGGGGAGGAAGGGAGUAAAGUUAAUACCUUU
rnacentral:rRNA from 1 species